CUUCUUCCUUUUCUUCUUGUUUUUCUUCUUCUCUCGUUCUUCUGCUUCUGUGAGUUUGGGAGAAUUAAAUCGUGAGGAUGUAUUAAAGAAGGGGGAGGAGUUGUUUCUGUUGAUUAUGAAGAAGAAUUUUGAGAUGUUGUUAUAAUCGAAGAUAGGGUUUUCAGAAGGAUGAAGUCGAUUGAGUUUUCGUGGAAUUAAUUAGUGAAUUGAGUUCAUGAUGGAUGAAGAUUGUUUGGGUUGAAGUUUAAGUAAAGUUUUGUAGUUGUAUUGAAGUUAUGAAGGUGACUCAGGAAAGAAUCAAAGGAUUAGGGUUUCUGCAAAUUGAAUUGAAAUUCAAUUUAGGGUUUCAUGAGAUUAAACUCAGAGAAGAUGAACUUGAUGUCCAAGAGGGAUGCUUGAAGAUGGGUAUAGUGUUAAUUAAUAGUUGAGGUGAUGAGUUGUUUAACCAGAGAAUUAGGGUUAUAUAAGAUGAACUCAAAAGAGUUAUAGAUGAUGAAAUUGAGGUUCAAGAAGUGUGAUUAGAGAUGGGUUUGUGAUGAAUUAAGGUUUAGAGUUGAAGAAUAACUCGAACUGGAUAGUUAGGGUUUGAGCAGUGGUUAUGAAGAUCAAGGUGAAAUGGAUAACUUGGCGUUCUUAAAUUUUACUGAGGAGGUGUUGAAUCAGCUCAAGACAAAGAAGAAAGUAAUUCAGUUGCUGCAAUAGAACUAUCUGGAGGUAAUUACUCUCUCAGUAACUUAGUAAAGUUAUUGAUUUCAAAUAAGGAGUUAUAAAUUGUGAAUGUGGAUGAAUAUGUGAUGGAAUUGAAAUAUAGAUGAAUGUUUAGUAUUCUGCAAGAGGAAUUACUACUGCAGGUUGGUAAGUAUGGAGAUGAAGUUGAGUAUAUGUGGAUGUUGUUGGAUUGAAAAGAGUUGAGACAGCUCAUACGUGGUUAUGAACUGGGUCUGAUGCAAAGAAUAAUUGGGGUUUGAAUUGAAGUUUGUGUCAGUUUUGGGGGUUGUUAUGGUUUGAAUAGAUCUUGCUAUUGUGCUGAGGUGCAGGGAAUGAUUGAAGUUUUGGAGGUGUCUGAAUUGAGAUGGUGAAACACAGGGGGGGUUCAUGGAGUUAAACUUAGUUGAAGAUGAUUGGAAUGGUGGUUAUUUAAUGAUGCUAAGGAUCUGUGAAUGAAUUGCAAGUAUGUCUAGUGGCGUUGAGCUACAGUGGUAGUUAACUGAAAUGGGUAUGACUGAGAAGAAUGUGGCAAUGGGAUAGAGAAUGGAGCUGUAAAUGUUAUUAAAGUUUGCUUGUAGCUGUGGCAUUGCAGUUAGUAGUUGAAUCAAGAUUUUAGGUUGGCUCAGGUGGUUAGUGUCGAGUUGGGGGAGUAGUUGUGGAGGCACAGUUUAGUGGAUUUGAGAUUGAGGUAGGUGUUACGAAUUGAUCUCAGUGAGUGAGGAUUUGCAGGCUUAGAUUGAGAUGAAGUUAUGUAAUUGUGAAGAAGAAGUUGUUGAAAUUACAAGACUUGAAGGCAUAUUGAAUUGCAGACUAGAAGUUAGUAGUGUUUAUGUGAUGUUUGGAAUGAAGUUGAUUGUGUUGUUGUCUUGGCAGUGGCCUUAGUGAAGUCUGCAACUGCAAAUUAAGUUAGUCUGAUCGAUUCAAAGGAUGAACCAGUGGAUCGUGGAUCUUUUCUAGGUAGGCGUGGCUUGUCAUCAAAAGAGGUGGGAAUACUUUAACUCUUUUGCAACCAUCGUUGUUCCUUUUAUAAAAGUCUUUGUUUAACAAACUCAUGCACUGCCUGAUUGUUUAUUCCAUGCAUUGUUUAUUUUAAAUUCCGAAAGUACUGUUGAUUCUUUUAAUCUUUCCAUUGCCUGGAAAGGAAUUGUGAUGCUUUGUUUGUCUUUAUGAUUGUCUUUGGGAAAUGAGAUUCCAAUUAUGGUAUAUCGGAUGCGCUCCUUCAUUAUUUUACUUUUGUGCUUUAUUCGGUGUGGAAUUGACAUCAAUAUUACGGGUGUGUACAUUCACCCACAAACUAUCUUAGGUGGUACGGCCAUCAAUAUUACGGCGUGUAAAUGUCGCCACAGAAAUUAUAAGAGACAGAUCAGAGUUGCGCAGCGGAAGCUUCGAGGAGUUGACUUCGUUAAUUAGU